UACGGAGGGUGCAAGCGUUAUCCGGAUUCACUGGGUUUAAAGGGUGCGUAGGUGGGUUGGUAAGUCCGUGGUGAAAUCUCCGAGCUUAACUCGGAAACUGCCGUGGAUACUAUCCGGCUCGAGGAACGGAGGGGAGACUGGAAUACUUGGUGUAGCAGUGAAAUGCGUAGAUAUCAAGUGGAACACCAGUGGCGAAGGCGAGUCUCUGGACAUUUCCUGACGCUGAGGCACGAAAGCCAGGGGAGCAAACGGG
rnacentral:rRNA from 1 species